CUUUAAACCCGAAAUCCUCUGCCUAUAAGGCGAAUGUUCUAACCACUGACAAAACUCCGCAAUAAACUGAUAACCGCAAAUUUUAUUUCGUGUUUUGUAAAGUCAUGGAAAAAUUAAUUUAAAUCAUUUGCAGUGACGUCAUCGGUAUUUGCUACGUGAUCAAAAUAUGUAACUUCAUCAUAAAGUUCUUUAAUUUCAUGACUUUCCCCUUUAUUUGAUUCUUAGAGGCGUCAAGGGUGGGGUCGUCGAGGGUAGGGCCGUCGAGGGUGGGGUCGUCGAAGGUGGGGCCGUCGAGGGUGGGGCCGUCGAGGGUGAGGCCGUUGAAGGUGGGACCGUCGAGGGUGGGGCCGUCGAGGGUGGGGUCGUCGAAGGUGGGGCCGUCGAGGGUGGGGCCGUCGAGGGUGAGGCCGUUGAAGGUGGGACCGUCGAGGGUGGGGCCGUCGAAGGUGGGGCCGUCGAGGGUGAAGCCGUCGAGGGUGAAGCCGUCGAGGGUGGGACCGUCGAGGGUGGGGCCGUCGAGGGUGAAGCCGUCGAGGGUGGGGCUGUCGAGGGUGGGGCCGUUGAAGGUGAAGCCGUCGAGGGUAGGGCCGU